rnacentral:rRNA from 1 species
CCUACGGGAGGCAGCAGUGGGGAAUAUUGGACAAUGGGGGGAACCCUGAUCCAGCCAUGCCGCGUGUGUGAAGAAGGCCCUCGGGUUGUAAAGCACUUUCAGUGAGGAAGAACGCCUGGUGGUUAAUACCCAUCAGGAAAGGCAUCACUCACAGAAGAAGCACCGGCUAACUCCGUGCCAGCAGCCGCGGUAAUACGGAGGGUGCGAGCGUUAAUCGGAAUUACUGGGCGUAAAGCGCGCGUAGGUGGCUUGAUAAGCCGGUUGUGAAAGCCCCGGGCUCAACCUGGGAACGGCAUCCGGAACUGUCAAGCUAGAGUGCAGGAGAGGAAGGUAGAAUUCCCGGUGUAGCGGUGAAAUGCGUAGAGAUCGGGAGGAAUACCAGUGGCGAAGGCGGCCUUCUGGACUGACACUGACACUGAGGUGCGAAAGCGUGGGUAGCAAACAGGAUUAGAUACCCCAGUAGUC